rnacentral:rRNA from 1 species
CCUACGGGAGGCAGCAGUAGGGAAUCUUCCGCAAUGGACGAAAGUCUGACGGAGCAACGCCGCGUGAGUGAAGAAGGUUUUCGGAUCGUAAAACUCUGUUGUUAGGGAAGAACAAGUGCGAGAGUAACUGCUCGCACCUUGACGGUACCUAACCAGAAAGCCACGGCUAACUACGUGCCAGCAGCCGCGGUAAUACGUAGGUGGCAAGCGUUGUCCGGAAUUAUUGGGCGUAAAGCGCGCGCAGGCGGUUCCUUAAGUCUGAUGUGAAAGCCCACGGCUCAACCGUGGAGGGUCAUUGGAAACUGGGGAACUUGAGUGCAGAAGAGAAGAGCGGAAUUCCACGUGUAGCGGUGAAAUGCGUAGAGAUGUGGAGGAACACCAGUGGCGAAGGCGGCUCUUUGGUCUGUAACUGACGCUGAGGCGCGAAAGCGUGGGGAGCAAACAGGAUUAGAUACCCUGGUAGUCCACGCCGUAAACGAUGAGUGCUAAGUGUUAGAGGGUUUCCGCCCUUUAGUGCUGCAGCUAACGCAUUAAGCACUCCGCCUGGGGAGUACGGCCGCAAGGCUGAAACUCAAAGGAAUUGACGG